rnacentral:rRNA from 1 species
UACAGAGGUGGCAAGCGUUGUUCGGAAUUACUGGGCGUAAAGGGCGCGUAGGCGGCCUUCUUAGUCAGACGUGAAAUCCUGGAGCUCAACUCCAGAACUGCCUUUGAUACUGAAAAUCUUGAGUUCGGGAGAGGUGAGUGGAACUGCGAGUGUAGAGGUGAAAUUCGUAGAUAUUCGCAAGAACACCAGUGGCGAAGGCGGCUCACUGGCCCGAUACUGACGCUGAGGCACGAAAGCGUGGGGAGCAAACAGG